GUGACGUAGAACUAGCUAAGCCGACAUGGCGGAUGGCGUGCUUGUGGUGCAGGGCUAGAUAGUUAUUACGAAUGGCUCGAGUCCCUCUCGGUCCCAGAGAGAGAAUCAGACAUCCUCUUUACUUCUGUUUCAAUCUUAUCCUUGGAGCCACAAUCCUUAUGUUUGGCCCUGGUUAUGUGAAAAAUAAAUGGGCAGACUUGACACGUAGACCAAAACAGAAGAGAAUAAAUCAGGCUACGACAGAUGCUUAAAACUCUCGAGUAUAAGAUAUGCAGAGGUUUCUGAGAAAAUUACAACGGAUGCCAAAAAGAGAUCUUGUUGUAAUUUUGACUUUGGCUGUGGGUAGUGCUAUUUAUACUUGGCAACCCAUGUACUUUGAAAUACAAAGAAUUGUAGCUCAACAAGAACUGGAAAAGUCUCAAGCUUCUCAAGGAGGUGAACCCAAACAGAAAAACAGUGAAAUUAAUACCGAUUUAGAAAAGAACACUAAAUAAUAGCAUCAUCAAGCAACAGUAUGCGCUCGUUCUUUAUAGUUUUGGGUGGUUUAGCAGGUGUUGUUGGAGUUUUCUCUGGCAUUACAGCAUUGAAACAAUAUCAAGCUUCUAGGCAAAUUGAAAAAAAUGAAAUAGAAAUGGAAGAGUUUCUUAUUCGCACGGGAAAGUUGAAAAAAGAAAGCUCUGAAAACUUGGAAUGAUAAUGGUCACUUAUAGUUGAUUUUGACUCGAUACUUUUGGACAGGAGCAAAAACCUUCACUUUUUUGCUGCAAUGUAUUGAUAAGCAAUCUUAGUUAAAAUCUUUUUUUAUAAAAAUGCAAGUUUCUCUUUGCAUAUCUUGGUUUCAAAAGUUAUGUCAAAAUGGUAGAGCCACUAUGUUAGGAUCACAUCUGCAUUUGGUAGUAACUUUUCACACAUUAUGGUUUAUCGUUUACAAUUUCAAAACAUUUUGACAUAUUGUAUUUCUCCAGUAUGUUUCUUUGCACUUGAAUUUAUUGUAAUUGAUAUAACCAACUGUACAUCUUUGAAAUAAAAUUGUUCUUUAUACUGGU
rnacentral:misc_RNA from 1 species